UACGGAGGAGGCAAGCGUUAUCCGGAAUUAUUGGGCGUAAAGCGUCCGCAGGUGGCACUUCAAGUCUGUCGUCAAAGACUGGGGCUUAACCCUGGAAAGGCGGUGGAAACUGAAGCGCUAGAGUGCGGGAGAGGUGAGUGGAAUUCCUGGUGUAGCGGUGAAAUGCGUAGAUAUCAGGAGGAACACCGGUGGUGUAGACGGCUCACUGGACCGUAACUGACGCUGAGACACGAAAGCGUGGGUAGCAAACAGG
rnacentral:rRNA from 1 species